rnacentral:rRNA from 1 species
AUUGAACGCUGGCGGCAGGCCUAACACAUGCAAGUCGAGCGAGCGGCGGACGGGCGAGUAAUGCCUAGGUAUGUGCCUGGUAGUGGGGGAUAACGUCCGGCAACGGGCGCUAACACCGCAUACUAUCAGUCGAGCAUAGGGCGGUUUAGCUAGUUGGUGGGGUAAUGGCUCACCUAGGCGACGAUCCCUAGCUGGUCUGAGAGGAUGACCAGCCACACUGGAACUGAGACACGGUCCAGACUCCUACGGGAGGCAGCAGUGGGGAAUAUUGCACAAUGGGCGCAAGCCUGAUGCAGCCAUGCCGCGUGUAUGAAGAAGGCCUUCGGGUUGUAAAGUACUUUCAGCGGGGAGGCGUUACCCGCAGAAGAAGCACCGGCUAACUCCGUGCCAGCAGCCGCGGUAAUUC